rnacentral:rRNA from 1 species
GACGUAGGGCGCGAGCGUUGCUCGGAAUCACUGGGCGUAAAGGGCGCGUAGGCGGCCGUUCAAGUCAGGGGGUGAAAGCCUGUGGCUCAACCACAGAAUUGCCUUUGAUACUGUUCGGCUAGAGACCGGAAGAGGUUAGUGGAACUGCGAGUGUAGAGGUGAAAAUUUCGUAGAUAUUUCGCAAAGAAACACCCAGUGGGCGAAGGCGGGCUAA